rnacentral:lncRNA from 1 species
AAAUCCUUUUCCCGGCUGCACGCCCAUCCUUUGACGUAAUUGCUCAAUUCUCCAACCGAUUCCUUUGGUUUCAUCAUAAAUUAAAAUUAUUCUCCAGCGGGCAUACAUUGAUGGGACGAAAUCCUUGUCCUAAUAGGCAAUUCAUUAUUCCGACAAUGUGAUUUAUGUAAUUUAUUACUACUAUCGAUAUAUAUAGCAGCAAUUUAUAUCUAGGCGCGUAUGCAGACCUUUGACGCUAGUGUAUGCAUAUAUGUCAAGUACAGGAGGGUUCCUUUUGUAAUAUGAGAUUCUUUUACGGUACGGACAGGAAGAAGAGAGAAAUCGAGAAGCAAGCCGGAGAAAAAGAAGAGGGAAGGGGAUUCCCACGCCGAGCAAUAUAGACCGUCCGAUAGGGACUUGGCUUGUGGAAGAUGGCCACCCGGAAGUGAUGAAGACCCUAGUGCUUGAUGACGGCCGCCGUCUGCUUGAUCUUACCUUUCUUUUCCAAAAAUAAUACGAGUGAGCUCUUUUCUUCUAUCUUUUUCCUGGCAUGGCCCUAAACAUGAACUCCUCCGGAUAAUCUCUGUCUA